CUCAUAUUAUCAUUAAUGAUAGAAUACUGUUCCAAUGGUCUUCUAUCGUUACUAUCAGAACAAACACAUUUUAUUAAAUUCCUAAAAGGAGUCGAGCUGAUAGAUAACGAAAUGGGCUUCGAUCAUCUACCUUUAAUAACGCCAGCAACGGGAUAUAUAUUUUCCAUAAUACUAGUUACACAAACAUUUAUUGGGUUCACACGUGUUUUUAUUCUUAGAAAUAGCAUUUAUUUUGUAUUGUCUUCGACGAUAAUGACGCUGGCAUCCGCUCUUAAUUGCUUAUUGUCAUCUUUGCCUCUCGAUUUGCUACGUCUCCGUAUAAGGUUGCUUCGACAAGCCUUGGCAAGUAACUUGAGCCUAUCGAUAAAUAAUACAGAGGAUAAAAUAAAAAUACUUUGGGAUAGCUUAAGAUUGUACAAAAAGUUGAUUGACAAAGUUACCAGUACAUUCCACUGGCAUAAACUGCAGAUAACUAUUACCACGUGUUGCUGUUUCUUUUCAUUUAUUAUAAACGGUUAUUAUGUUUCCUUAGCAUUGAAAUAUUCCAAAGAUAGUGGAGUCGGAGUCGAUAAAGUGUAUACCAUAAUUGGCUUUGUUUUGUUUACCGCACCAUCUUGUCUACCAGCGCUUUUCUGCGAGCUAGCUCAUCGGGAAGUCGCUAAACUAAAAGCUGCCGUUGGUAACUUGCUGCUCCUUUGCGAAGAUGAUGAACUACAAUCGGAGCUGCAGCUAGCGGUUGAAUAUUUGGAUCAUCGUCCCUUCAGAGUGUCCAUCUACCAAGUGUGGUCUCUCGACGGCUCUUUCAUACUAACUUUCGUCGGCCUCUGCACCACCUAUCUUAUCACCAUCGUGCAGAUAUUUGGCAUCAUUUAGUUUAAAGUCA